rnacentral:rRNA from 1 species
UACAGAGGUCGCAAGCGUUGUUCGGAUUCAUUGGGCGUAAAGGGGGCGUAGGCGGCGAGGCAAGGCUGGCGGGAAAUCCCGGGGCUCAACCCCGGAACUGCACGGGAUACUGCUUUGCUAGAGUACUGGAGAGGGAACUGGAAUUUACGGUGUAGCAGUGAAAUGCGUAGAUAUCGUAAGGAAGACCAGCGGCGAAGGCGAGUUCCUGGGCAGUUACUGACGCUGAGGCACGAAGGCCAGGGGAGCAAACGGG